rnacentral:rRNA from 1 species
AGGACGAACGCUGGCGGCGUGCUUAACACAUGCAAGUCGAGCGGAAAGGCCCUUCGGGGUACUCGAGCGGCGAACGGGUGAGUAACACGUGAGCAAUCUGCCCUUAGCUUCGGGAUAGCCCCGGGAAACCGGGAUUAAUACCGAAUACGACCUCGGCCGACAUCGGCUUUGGUGGAAAGUUUUUCGGCUAGGGAUGAACUCGCGGCCUAUCAGCUUGUUGGUGGGGUAAUGGCCUACCAAGGCGACGACGGGUAGCCGGCCUGAGAGGGCGACCGGCCACACUGGGACUGAGACACGGCCCAGACUCCUACGGGAGGCAGCAGUGGGGAAUAUUGCGCAAUGGGCGAAAGCCUGACGCAGCGACGCCGCGUGGGGGAUGAAUGCCUUCGGGUUGUAAACCCCUUUCAGCAGGGACGAAGCGAAAGUGACGGUACCUGCAGAAGAAGCGCCGGCUAACUACGCGCCAGCAGCCGC